rnacentral:lncRNA from 1 species
AAUUUUUUUUUUUUUUUUUUUUUUUUUUUUUUUUUUUUUUUUUUUUUAUAUAUGUUAGGGAGUAUAAGGAUUAUUAUAGUAGGGUGUAGUUUGUAGUAUUGAAUGUUUUUUUUUUUUUUUUUCUGUAAUGUGUUGAUUUCCACCGUAGAUUUUCUCACUAUUCGUGUAUAUGUCCCCACUCUUUCUAGUGUUUUAUGUGUGUGUUUAUAUAGGGAGUGUGUAUGUGUGCAGUGCAGACGUUAGGUUUAGUGCAUGUGUAUUCGUGUAGUGGGGAAGUUAGGUUUGGGGGAUGAUAGGAAAGUUAGGGAAAUGUUGGAGGUAAUGGGAAAGUUAGGGGAAUGUUGGAGGUAAUGGGAAAGUUAGGGGAAUGUUGGAGGUAAUGGGAAAGUUAGGUUUAUUUUUUUAUUUUUUUAAAUAUUUUAAAUAAAAUAAAAAUAAUAAAAUCUAUUUGAAAUUAACAAAAUACAAAUAAGUUAAAUAGCUAGUCUUAGAAAUAUGAUUAAAAAUUAUUAAUAUCACUAGAUUCUUUAUUAAAAGUUAAAAAUAAAAAACAAAUAAAUUUAGAAUUUUUUUUUAUAAAUAAAUAAACAAAUAAUAAUAAAAAUAAAAGAUUAUUAAAAUGUGGCUCUAUUUUUUAUAGUUUUCAAAACUUUUAACAAACCAUGUAAAAUAAGAUAAACUUAAAAUAUCUAAUUUAGACCUAAAAGAAAAUAAAACACUAAAAUGAUAUAAAAAUGUUAGAUUUGGUCAAAAAUUAGGUGUUUGCAGAAUGUCCCUCUUUGCUUGGUAAUAUGAAGAAUUUUCAAGCAAAGAAGUAAACAUGACUAAUUUUUUGCGUAACCAUUUAUUUAAAAGUAAUAUGUAAGUGAGUAGAAAAGAGGUGUGAUCGAGCCCUUAUUUUGGGCAUCCUACAUAUUUCGGGUUAUAGAAUCAGG